AGCGAACGCUGGCGGCAGGCCUAACACAUGCAAGUCGAGCGCCCCGCAAGGGGAGCGGCAGACGGGAUAGUAACACGUGGGAACGUACCUUUCAGUUCGGAACAACCAAGGGAAACUUUGGCUAAUACCGGAUACGCCCGUAAGGGGAAAGAUUUAUCGCUGAAAGAUCGGCCCGCGUCUGAUUAGCUAGUUGGUGGGGUAAAGGCCCACCAAGGCGACGAUCAGUAGCUGGUCUGAGAGGAUGAUCAGCAUCACUGGGACUGAGACACGGCCCAGACUCCUACGGGAGGCAGCAGUGGGGAAUAUUGGACAAUGGGCGCAAGCCUGAUCCAGCCAUGCUGCGUGGAUGAUGAAGGCCCUAGGGUUGUAAAGUCCUUUCGGCGGGGAAGAUAAUGACGGUACCCGCAGAAGAAGCCCCGGCUAACUUCGUGCCAGCCGCCGCGGUAAGAC
rnacentral:rRNA from 1 species